rnacentral:misc_RNA from 1 species
GAUGAAGAACGCAGCGAAAUGCGAUAAGUAAUGCGAAUUGCAGAAUUCAGUGAAUCAUCGAAUCUUUGAACGCACAUUGCGCCCGCUAGUAUUCUGGCGGGCAUGCCUGUCUGAGCGUCAUUUCAACCCUCGCCCCCGGCUUUUGCUGGGAGCGGUGUUGGGGAUCGGCCGCCCGUCACUGGGAGGCCGGCCCCGAAAUAGAGUGGCGACCACGCCGUGUGCUCCUCUGCGUAGUAGUAAAUCACCUCGCAGGCGGACAGCGGUGCGGCCUGCCGUAAAACCCCCAACUCUUUCUGGUUGACCUCAGAUCAGGUAGGAAUACCCGCUGAACUUAAGCAUAUCAUAAGCGGAGGA